UGCAUGCUACUGUCAGGGCUCUGUGUUGGUGUGCAGUGUAUGUGUGUGUGUUUCUUUCCACCCUCUGCUCUAGCACCUGGCAGGUGCUGCUGCUCAGAGCCUAAUCACUGGCCUUCUUAAGGAGCUGAGACCAGGAUGGAGAUGUCAACCUGUUGCUACAUUUUUGUGAACUUGCCUGAUGAGUUUUUAAGGCACCUAGUCCUGUGAUCUGUUUUCUGAGCGAGCUUCAAGGUUUCGUUCCUCAUCUCCCACCGUGAGUCUCCCUGCCUUCUCAGCUUCUGGCCCUGGCUUGGGUGAGGUUUUUUGGAGAACCUUACUUCUGUUGUCACCUGCUUGUCCACCUUCCUACGUGAUGUGGGAAUGCUUAAACUGAGUCAUCACUUGAGAGCUAAAGGAAAGAAGGGAAACUUCCGCCUACCACACUCAUCCUGCCAACCUCCAUCUCAGAGGAAAGACUUACUUCCCCAGCUAAACCACAACCGCUCUGGCUAGAAGAACCAGUCUCCUGCUGUCAUAGCCGGGGUCCCUGUCUCGCCUUGUUCCUUUUUCUUAACAAAAUUAAUUUGUUAAAACGCUGUCCUGAAUCUGUGGUUGUGUUCUCUUCAGAGUUUAAAGAAACGCUACACUAUGACAGCUACAUAGAUAAGUGACGGAGGGUAAGUUAUAUAUUUACUUGGUGAGCAUAAAUAUCGGAAGCCAGUUUAGUUUUGAUAGUGUUUGUAUUCAUCCAUGCUGUUGUAAUAUGCACAGAAUCUGUUUCAUGAAAGAAAUGAGUUGCCUAAAAAGUGUUAGAUGCUUUAAACCCUGCAUCAUUAAAAAUGCAUUAUUAAAUGGGAAAGUUACCAACACCAAAUGUUCUCCAAUGAAUGCUACCUUAAGAUAUACACUGAUUUUAUAUGAUUAAUUUGGCUCUUUUCUCCAGCCCAAUGGAGAUGUUUUACCCCCAGGCAUUGUUGUCAAGACCUAAAACAAUUAUCCAAUACUGCUUUUUCAAGGCUGGACUAUUGUAAUUCUUUGCUAUCAGGAUGUCA